rnacentral:rRNA from 1 species
UGCGGUUAAAAAGCUCGUAGUUGGAUCUUGGAGUGUGAGUGAAUGGUCGAUCGAAAGAUUGUACUGUUCGGCACACUCUUCUCUUCGGUUGCGUGUGUAGUGCCCUUAACUGAGUGCUGCACUUGACCGGAAUUUUUACCUUGAAAAAAUUAGAGUGUUCAAAGCAGACCUGAUUAUGUCUGAAUAUUCGUGCAUGGAAUAAUAAAAUAAGAACUUGGUUCUAUUUUAUUGGUUUUCGGAACUCGAGUUAAUGAUUAAGAGGGACAGACGGGGGCAUCCGUACUCUGCCGUUAGAGGUGAAAUUCUUGGAUCGGCGGAAGACGCGCAACUGCGAAAGCAUUUGCCAAGAAUGUUUUCUUUAAUCAAGAACGAAAGUCGGAGGUUCGAAGACGAUCAGAUACCGUCCUAGUUUCGACUGUAAACUAUGCCAGCUAACGAUCAGACAGCGUUCUCUACGACUUGUCUGGCAGUUUCCGGGAAACCAAAGCUUUUGGGUUCCGGGGGAAGUAUGGUUGCAAAGCUGAAACUUAAAGGAAUUGACGGAAAGGCACCACCAGGAGUGGAGCCUGCGGCUUAAUUUGACUCAAC